rnacentral:rRNA from 1 species
CCUACGGGAGGCAGCAGUGGGGAAUAUUGCGCAAUGGGGGAAACCCUGACGCAGCAACGCCGCGUGAGUGAAGACGUAUCUCGGUAUGUAAAGCUCUAUCAGCGGGGAAGAAGGAAGACGGUACCUGACUAAGAAGCCCCGGCUAACUACGUGCCAGCAGCCGCGGUAAUACGUAGGGGGCGAGCGUUAUCCGGAUUCACUGGGGGUAAAGGGAGCGUAGACGGCCGUGCAAGCCAGGAGUGAAAGCCCGGGGCCCAACCCCGGGACUGCUCGUGGAACUGUGCGGCUAGAGUGCGGGAGGGGCAGGCGGAAUUCCUGGUGUAGCGGUGAAAUGCGUAGAUAUCAGGAGGAACACCGGCGGCGAAGGCGGCCUGCUGGACCGCGACUGACGUUGAGGCUCGAAAGCGUGGGGAGCGAACAGGAUUAGAUACCCUUGUAGUC